rnacentral:tRNA from 1 species
GCCGGGGUGGCGUAGUUGGUAGCGCGUCGGACUCAUAGGGAACAGUUAGCGGAGAUUUCUCUGCUGACGCGAACGAUGAGCGCAUCAUGCCUAGCCGAAAAUGUCUGAGACAUCCGAAGGUCGCGGGUUCAAGUCCCGCUCCCGGCA